GGGGAAGAGACACUAUGGGACAAGGGGAGGGGAAGAGACACUAUGGGACAAGGGGAGGGGGACACUAUGGGACAAGGGGAGGGGGACACUAUGGGAGAAAGGGAGGGGAGACACUAUGGGAGAAAGGGAGGGGGAGACACUAUGGGACAAGGGGAGGGGGGAGACACUAUGGGACAAGGGGAGGGGGGGACACUAUGGGAUCAGAACACUAAUGGACAAGGGGAGGAGGGGUUAAAGAACACUAUGGGACAGGGUAGGAGGGGUUAACAAUCACUAUGGGACAGGGUAGGAGGGGUUAACAAUCACUAUGGGACAGAGGAAAGGGGGGUUAAAGAUCAUUAUGGGACAGGGGAGAAAAAAAAA